rnacentral:rRNA from 1 species
UACGAAGGGUGCAAGCGUUACUCGGAAUUACUGGGCGUAAAGCGUGCGUAGGUGGUUCGUUAAGUCUGAUGUGAAAGCCCUGGGCUCAACCUGGGAAUGGCAUUGGAAACUGGCGACCUAGAGUGCGGUAGAGGGUAGUGGAAUUCCCGGUGUAGCAGUGAAAUGCGUAGAGAUCGGGGGGAACAUCCGUGGCGAAGGCGACUACCUGGACCAGCACUGACACUGAGGCACGAAAGCGUGGGGAGCAAACAGG